GUUGAACGCUAGCGGGAUGCCUUACACAUGCAAGUCGAACGGAGUGGCGAACGGGUGAGUAAUGUAUCGGAACGUGCCCAGUCGCGGGGGAUAACUACGCGACAGCGUAGCUAAUACCGCAUACUAUUGGCGCGGCCGAUAUCGGGUUGGCUAGUUGGUGGGGUAACGGCUCACCACGGCGACGAUCCGUAGCUGGUUGGAGAGGACGACCAGGCCCCCUGUGACGGAGACACGGCCCAGUCCCCUACGGGAGGCAGCAGUGGGGAAUGGUGGACAAGGGGGGGAACCCUGAUCCAGCCAUCCCGCGUGUGCGAUGAAGGCCUGCGGGUUGUAAAGCAAUUGCAGCGGGGAGGCGUUACCCGCAGAAGAAGCACCGGCUAACUCCGUGCCAGCAGCCGCGGUAAUAC
rnacentral:rRNA from 1 species